rnacentral:misc_RNA from 1 species
AACGCACCUUGCGCUUCUUGGUAUUCCGAGGAGCAUGCCUGUUUGAGUGUCAUUAAAUUCUCAAUCCCUUCCAGUUUUUCACAAGCUGGUUGUGGCUUGGAUAUUGGGGGUUUCUGCAGGCCUUCUAUAGGUCAGCUCCCCUAAAAUACAUUAGCAGAACUGUUUGCGGUCUGUCACUGGUGUGAUAAUUAUCUGCACCACGGCUGCUUUCUCUUGUUCAGCUUCUAACUGUCUUCUUGGACAACUAUUGAACAUUUGACCUCAAAUCAGGUAGGACUACCCGCUGAACUUAA